CGGGGUGAGUAAUGUCUGGGAAACUGCCUGAUGGAGGGGGAUAACUGCUGGAAACGGUAGCUAAUACCGCAUAACGUCGCAAGACCAAAGAGGGGGACCUUCGGGCCUCUUGCCAUCGGAUGUGUCCAGAUGGGAUUAGCUAGUAGGUGGGGUAACGGCUCACCUAGGCGACGAUCCCUAGCUGGUCUGAGAGGAUGACCAGCCACACUGGAACUGAGACACGGUCCAG
rnacentral:rRNA from 1 species